rnacentral:SRP_RNA from 1 species
GCCGGAUGCCAUGGCACGUGCCUGUAGUCCCAGCUACUCGGGAGGCUGAGGCUGGAGGAUCACUUGAGCCCAGGAGCUCUGGGCUGUAGUGCUAUGCCGAUCGGGUGUCCGCACUAAGUUCGGCAUCAAUAUGGUCACCUCCCGGGAGCGGGGGACCACCAGGUUGCCUAAGGAGGGGUGAACUGGCCCAGGUCAGAAACGGAGCAGGUCAAAACUCUGGUGAUGAUCGGUAAUGGGAUUGAGCCUGUGAAUAGCCACUGCACUCCAGCCUGGGCAAUGUAGUGAGACCCCAUCUCU